ACAUUAAAAAAUGAUAUUCUAAUAUCUAAAUAAUAUGCAGAAAAUCAUAGUGAACUUACUAUUGCAGAAAAGCUGUCCUGGUAUGCAGUAAUGAUAGUGUUUUUAUUUUAAAUAAUACUGUUAUAAAAAUUUAUUUCUUUAAAUUUGUUCUUCUUUCUACAGAAUCAUAAGUUUUAGCAGUACUCUAGAAUUUUUUAACAGUGAUACAUUUCUGCCACCAUUUGGAGGAGCCUUCAUCAUAGAGUAGUGAGGAGUUGAGUCUGAUUUGCAAAGAUGCCUUCAUUUGAAAUUCAGAAUUCACCGCCCCCCCAGAAGAAUUCUUAGUCAAAUUCCCAUAAUUAAUGAAUUGUACCUUCUUGAUUUCUCUACUGCCAAUCUAAUGCAAGUUACAAUUAUAACUAAUUAUUUUGUAUAAAUUCUGAUGAUGGUCUUACACCACUGAAACAAUAGAUAUUCUGAAAACUAUAAGUGAAACUGUCAGCCCUUGACAUCUGUAGUUAACCAAGUACUUAGAAUGUUGUUGAUAGUUAGGUAAUUAUAAGAUUAAAUCAAGAGUGUGGGAGGCCUCUGUGCUUUUCUAAUGAAACCAUUUAAUUUUUAAAAAAACUUAUGAUGCAUAAUCAUGGUCUCCCUUAAUCCAAAAUUUAAAAUAGUAUCUGUAAAUAGUUAUUCUCUAUAGUGGUCUUAGGAAAGCAGAAGUAUAUGAAAAUUUCAUUCACUUUCUCCUUAAGCCUUAUACCAGAGUUACUAAGAAUUGGCAAAGUUCACUGAUCCAAGAUUUACCCUUCUGAUAUCUUGCUCUGGUGAAAUAAUAGAAAAGUGUUUUGCAAACUAAAAGCUAGAUAUGAAGGUAAAGGAAAUUACAGUUAAUUAAAAGUUUCAUUAAAAUAAUGUUACCAUGACUGUGAAAUCCUGAAUUCUGAUUUUGCCUUUGUUACUAUAAUGCUAAUUAGAUAUUUUACUUUGUUUAAAAUUUUUUAGACUAAACAGUCCAAUUUCCAUCAACAAGAUGGAGAAUUUAUGUUUAGAAUUACCUUCAAAAUUAAGUAAUUUUUAUGUCAUUAUGAACUGUAACUGGAUGGUCUCAGAAAGCCAAGAAGUGUAGGAAGCAGAGCAUUUAUUUAACACUGUGCUUGAACAAGAAAGCUGCAUACAAAAUCAGAAGUACACCAUGUAGAAAAUUCAAGAUUUCCAGAAGCCCAAUCAUAUGAAGGAUAUGUAAAUAGAGUUGUGCGUGUCAGUGUGUGGAUGCAGAGUAAGUAAAGCACAUACUGAAAUUGCUUUAUGAAAGCUAAGUGGUCAUAAAAUAAGAUGCAGAAGUUCAAGUGAAAAGUCACCUUUAGGCUAAGAGUAAAAAAAACACCCAAUUAUGCCCUAAAGCAGUUUUGUAACACUUAAGUUUUCACUGACAUCUAGAAAUUUACAAGUGGUUUUUUAAAGAAUGAGAAUUGGAAUCAUUUAUUGCUUGCUUUAUUGGCAUACUUAUUUAAGCAAAAGGGUUGCUUCUAUGCAAAGCUUCAGAAUUCUUUUUCACUCCAACUCUUUCUGCUUGUGAGUCAUCAAGACUGGUGUGCAAUCCUUCACAUGCGAAGAAAAGUCUCUUUCUACUCAGGCUGCUAUAACAAAUUACCAUACACUAGGUGGCUUACUGACACUUAUUUCUCACAGUUCUGGAAGUCCAACAGCGUUUCUUGUGUCUCUUCUUGUAAGGGCACUAAUACUAUUCAUGAGGGCUCCACCCUCAUGACCUAAUCAUCUCCAAAAGGCCCUCACUCCAAUCAACACCACUGGGGAUUAGGGCUUCAACAUAUGAAUGGAGAGAGAGAGAAACA